CCCAGACUCCUACGGGAGGCAGCAGUGAGGAAUAUUGGUCAAUGGGCUUACGCCUGAACCAGCCAAGUCGCGUGAGGGAAGACGGCCCUACGGGUUGUAAACCUCUUUUGUCGGGGAGCAAAGAGAGUCACGUGUGACUCAUUGAGAGUACCCGAAGAAAAAGCAUCGGCUAACUCCGUGCCAGCAGCCGCGGUAAUACAUAGGGAGCAAGCGUUAUCCGGAUUUAUUGGGUGUAAAGGGUGCGUAGACGGGAAAUUAAGUUAGUUGUGAAAUCCCUCGGCUUAACUGAGGAACUGCAACUAAAACUGAUUUUCUUGAGUACUGGAGAGGAAAGUGGAAUUCCUAGUGUAGCGGUGAAAUGCGUAGAUAUUAGGAGGAACACCAGUGGCGAAGGCGACUUUCUGGACAGUAACUGACGUUGAGGCACGAAAGUGUGGGGAGCAAACAGGAUUAGAUACCCCUGUA
rnacentral:rRNA from 1 species